GGGACCCUACGGGGGGCAGCAGUGGGGAAUAUUGCACAAUGGGGGGAACCCUGAUGCAGCGACGCCGCGUGGGUGAGGAAGUACUUCGGUAUGUAAAGCCCUAUCAGCAGGGAAGAAAAUGACGGUACCUGACUAAGAAGCCCCGGCUAACUACGUGCCAGCAGCCGCGGUAAUACGUAGGGGGCAAGCGUUAUCCGGAUUUACUGGGUGUAAAGGGAGCGUAGACGGCGUGCCAAGUCUGGUGUGAAAGGUACCGGCUCAACCGGUACAGGCUCUGGAAACUGGCGGGCUAGAGAGCAGGAGAG
rnacentral:rRNA from 1 species